GCUGGGCGUGGUGGUGGGCGCCUGUAAUCCCAGCUACUCGGGAGGCUGAGGCAGGAGAAUCGUUUGAACCUGGGAGGCAGAGGUGGCAGUGAGCCAAGAUGGCACCACUGCACUACAGCCUGGGUGACAGAGCGAGAAUCCGUCUCAA
rnacentral:sRNA from 1 species